ensembl:lincRNA
CAAGUCAUACAAACAGAACCUGUAAAUAAUGCCUCAAUGGUUGUCCAAUGGUUUUCUUUUCUUUUCUUUUUUUUUUAAGAUUUUUAUUUAUUCAUUUGAGAGAGAGAGAGCGAGCACAAGCAGCGGGGAGCAGCAGAGGGAGAUGCAGAUUCUGCUGAGCUGGGAGUCUGAUCUGGAGUUCCAGCCUAGGACUUGGAGAUCACAACCUGAGCUGAAAACAGGUGCUUAACUGACAGAGUUACCCAGGUACCCCUGUCCAUUGGUUUUCAAUGACUUUCUCAUUUCAAUAUGCUUAAAAAAAUUAAGGUAAUACCCUUAACAGUGAUUAUCUAAGCCAAAUUACUUCUCUCCCCUUUAAUAUAUUUUUCACAGAAUACCAUGUUGAAGACAAAUUAUAAGAAACUUAAACUUUGAGAUUUUAAAAAAUGAAAGAAAAAUUAAAAUGAAGACAAGUUAGAAAAAGAGAUCAGAAAAAUUGCAGAGCUGCUGUAACAUGCUGGAUGAGGAGGCCAUGUUUUCAAAUGUUGCAAAGAAUUUAAGGGCAGAAAAACCCAAUUUGAUAAUGCAGUGUAAGGUUCUGAAGUUACUCUCCGUCUCGCUGAAGAAAUGUGCGGGCACAUUGUUCUUAGCUGUCCAUUCCAUCCAUUGGGACACAAGGUCAGAAGAAAAUGUAAGAUGGGUUUUUCUACCCCAUCUGACAGCUUCAGUUCGUCAGAAAAGAGAGCUAAACACAGCUGUGAAGACAGAAGGCUGAGGCAGCAUUCUCUUAAUGACUUGGGACAACUCUGAACCACUGUUCACAAUGAUUCCAGUGAAUGCGGCAGCAGAAGUCCUAUGACUUCGGCAUGGAAACAGCAGCAGCCCUCAAGGAUUUCUGGAUUUUAUUUUACUUAUUUUUUAAAGAUUUUAUUUGUUUAUUUGCCAGAGAGAGAGAGAGCACAAGCAAGAGGAGUGGCGGGCAGAGGAAGAGAGAGAGGCAGACUUCCCACUGAGCAAGGAGCCCGAUGCCCCUGAGAUCAUGACCUGAGCUGAAGGCAGACUGAGCCACCCAGGCACCUCGGAUUUCUGUAUUUUAAAUGAAUGAACAAAAUGAUUUGUGAGGCUUGUCAAAAUAAAGGGCAAAAUAUCAACCUUCUUUGGGCUGGAGAGAGAAAGAGGAAAGGGUUAACUACCAGUGGGAGAUUUCCAAAGCCAAAGGUGCCUUAAUUUCUACAUAGCUUUUUUUUUUCUUUCCAUUAAUUAUUAUAUUUAGCAAAGUUCUCUGUUUCUCACCCUUACUAAAUAUGGCAUUUAGAAUGACUGGCCCUUUUGAUGUUUCAUGAAUUAAAACUUCUAAGUUGUUAGAAGAUAAUUUUGUCUCUCUUAUUUAACAUCAUGAAAAAUGAUUGUUUUGAAGGUCUGAGAAAAAAAAAUGAUAUUACAAAAAGGUGGUCCCUCUACCUCACUUCAGUUUCCACUUGAAUUGCCUGAUUUCUUUUUCCCUUCCUCCCUCCCUUCCUCUUUGCUUCCUCUUUGACUUUCUUGCUUCCUUCUUUCUGUCCUCUUAUCCCCAAAUGUACAAAGCAUGCAAGGCACAAGUCGAUGUUUUAUUAAUAAAUAAUAUUUCAAACGUGGGU